GACAGAGGGUGCAGACGUUGUUCGGAAUUACUGGGCGUAAAGCGCGUGUAGGCGGUCUCGCAAGUCGGAUGUGAAAGCCCAGGGCUCAACCCUGGAAGUGCACUCGAUACUGCGAGGCUAGAGUCCCGGAGAGGAUGGUGGAACUCUCGGUGUAGAGGUGAAAUUCGUAGAUAUCGAGAAGAAACACCGGUGGCGAAGGCGGCCAUCUGGACGGUGACUGACGCUGAGACGCGAAAGCGUGGGAGCAACAGGAUU
rnacentral:rRNA from 1 species